rnacentral:snoRNA from 14 species
CGGCUAUGAUGAUUUCCUAUUGCCGUUUACCCGUCUGAGGAAAACCGUGCUUGAGACUUUUGGAAGUUGGCUGAGCCG